rnacentral:rRNA from 1 species
CGGUAAUACCAGCUCUCCGAGUGGUAGGGACGAUUAUUGGGCUUAAAGCGUUCGUAGCCGGCCUGGCAAGUCUCUCGUCAAAUCCAGCGACCCAAUCGCUGGGCCGCGGGAGAUACUACUAGGCUUGGGAGCGGGAGAGGUCGACGGUAUUCCCGGGGUAGGAGUGAAAUCCUGUAAUCCCGGGAGGACCACCAGUGGCGAAGGCUGUCGACUAGAACGCGUCCGACGGUGAGGGACGAAAGCUGGGGGAGCGAACCGGAUUAGAUACCCGGGUAGUCCCAGCUGUAAACGAUGCGGGCUAGGUGUCGGUGUGGCUACGAGCCACUCCGGUGCCGCAGGGAAGCUCUUAAGCCCGCCGCCUGGGAAGUACGGUCGCAAGGCUGAAACUUAAAGGAAUUGGC